UAACAGUAAUAAUAAUAAUAAUAAUAAUAAUAAUAAUAAUAAUAAUAAUAAUAAUAAUAAUAAUCAUGAUAAUGACGAUGAUAAUAAUAAUAGUAAUGAUGAUGACGAUGACCAGGAGGAUCACGAUUAUGACAUAAAAGAAUUAAUCUCGAACGAUCGCCGUGCUCGAACACGAUCGCGAGUGUUCUAUACUCGAAUCGAUAGGACGACGUCACGAUGACUCCUCUUCGAUUACGAAAAUGAUCUUUCGAGUUAUCGACAAUCGUUCGGGGAAACACGAUCGAAGGUCCCAUCACGUUUAAUCGUAGUUAAAGAGAAGAAUUUAUUCUUCGAAGGCUCGGUAGUAUGAAACGAUUCUUCGAAUGCAUGUUGUAUGUAUUGUUAAUUUGUUCGAUUCGGAUGACGUAAAAGGAGGAGAGUCCGAAAGAGAGGAAUCGAAAACGAUUAUUCGUGAGACCUUCGCCCUCGUGGAUGCUUAUUUUGAAAAGGCGUUGCGAACUAUUGGAAGGCCGAGAUCGUACCCCCAGCGUGUUCGCUCGCUCCCAUUCUCUAAAUAUUCCGAAUGAAUUAUUCGUACACGUAAGGAGAAUGUGUGUGAGUGUGUAUAUGUUUGUACGUGUUAGUGUGUGUGAGAGAAAAAGAGAGAGAAAGAGAGAAUCGCGGAGUCCGUUCUCGUGGAAGACGCAGAGAGCACGAUAUCGAUUCGACGACGACUGGAUUGCGUCCCGAAGGACGAUACGUUCCUUCGGCGUUUCUCGUAUUAUACGGGCUCGAAGAAUAUACGACAAUAAAAGAAGGAUCGUAGCCGCUCGAACACGAUCCAUACUCCGUGAGAGUUAAUCGAGAGACGGACGAACUCCUACGGCUUUUAUGGCUCCGCUCGUAAAGAUAUACCUACGGCUUUUUCUGUGGAACUGAGGACCCCUUCGAACGAAUACCCGGUCCAGGAAAAGUAGUAGAGAGACGUAGACGACGAAGAUAUGGAAAAGAACUGCGGUCUGGAUGCGUAAAUACAGAGAGGAGGAGUAUCCUUCGGGCUGUGGAAAUUUCGGUGAAAGAGGGUCGAAGCUAGCCAACCAAUUACUAUGCUGUAUAAAGGAAAAAAAAGUAAUAAAAAAUAAAAAAUAAAAUAAAAUAAAAUAAAAUAAAACGAACAUACCUAACGCAGUUAAGAUAAUGUACAAGUCUCUAGUGUGAUACAUUUCUACGCUUAUUCUCUAACUGUAGUCGUGAAGUCUAAAGUACGAUACCUCGUUAUGGUUUGUAACACGGAGAAGUAGUCCUGUAAUAACUAAAUAAUAAUAAUAAUAACAAUAAUAUUAAUAUUAAUAUUAAUAUUAAUAAUAUUAUUAAUAAUAAUAAUAAUAAUAAUAAUAAUAAUAAUAAUAAUAAUAAUAAUAAUAAUAACAAAAAUAAUAUUAAAAUAAAAUAUUAAUAAUAAUAAUGAAAAAAAAGUACGAUCAAAAAUCCGCUUAGGCUGACUGUUAACUCGCGAAAGACGUAUUGUAUUUCUGUAGGGAGCAAUUGUCCUAAUAAUUGCGAAUUGAACAUAAAGUAAAAAGAAAAAAAAAAAAAAAGAAAAAAAGAAAUGAGGAAGCAUAAAGCAACGUCACUGAGAGAACGUGAGAAAAAAGAGCUCAUAUAUAACAAGGAUAUAUAGAGGCGUGCGGAUCACCGAUUUAUGGAUGAAUGAAUGCGUGAAUAAUAAUGAAUGGAUGUGCAUAAUGAUGGACGAUCGACCAGUUCUGGUCGAUUCUCGAGUGUGUGUCACUUUAGCAAGCAAAGUAUUUCGAGAGUAUAGUGUUCGGAAUGUACAUAAUUCUUGUAUAUAACGAACGAAUCACUGAUUGUACAAUACCACCCAAAUAUAUUUAUAUUUCAUGUUAA